AUAGCUGCUUUCAAUUACCUGAAAGGGGGUUCCAAAGAGGAUGGAUCUGGAGAGGUGGGGGGUGUUAGAAGGUCUGCAUGGCAGUCACCACCUCUUGCCAGCCUUCUCUUGGUCUCUGCUGCAGGCCUCCUGCCCCUGUCUUCCCUGCUUCUGGCCAUUGAACUGGGGCCCUUCUCAUGGCACUCCUAUGCAAUGUUCUGGACCCAUCAGACACUGCUGAUGAAAGCACCGAGGGCCAUCUAGCUUGGUCUGCACCCCUACACGUGAUCCAGCUCUCCUCAACUCUCCUUUGGGCUCAUCGUCCAGGGCAAGCAGCCCCCCCCCCAGGUGCUGGAUCCAGGGAUGCAAGGUUUGAUGUAGGCUCGUUAAUAAACACACUGUUUGGAGGACGAGUGUGGUGUGUUCCUGGAAGCCACUCGGUGUUUGUAUCCUGUAGGCGCGACAACGUCAGAGAGUAAAUGUCAGGUUCCUGGGCAGGGAGAGCACUGGAUCCUGCUGCUACCACGUAUCUGGUAACUGAGGAGCCAGCAGCAUCUGGGGGUGUUUUUCUCCUGCCACUCCAGAACGUGUUUGAAGAUGUCAGGCUGUGUCAGGUGCACACAGGAGGUGCCCUGCCCAGCAGUCAGGGACUGGGUAAGACUCAGUUCCUGGGGAGAUGGAAUCCUCUAGGAAUAGCAGUGUGUAUGGCACUUCACACAGUGGGGGUCACUCGGUGGCAGUGUACCGAAAACACACCACCAAGGCAGCGACCUGCGUUACAAGAACAUUCUGUAGGUUGCUAAGUCGAGCACUUGGAAGUUGCAGAUUGACACAACUUUCAUUCUUCCCCCUUGUGCGUGCAACCUGGCUAUUGAAUGAGGCAGGGGUGCAAUGGGAAACCUGUGUGGGAUCGUGAAAUCAUAGACUGUACCUGACGUGCGUGUCCAAAGGGCAGAACAAGGGCCGACAAGCAACCAGAAGGUGUACAGCUGGCAUUUCCAAACUUCAAUAGCGGAACAGGAUUUUAUGAAACAAAGAAGAGGCACUUCACUAGCCCAAGGCUGUCCCCCUGGCUGAGUACCAAGGACCUGCUGCGAACAACAAAGCCUCAGGUCCAGGACUGAUGUAAGCGCAUGAGAAUCUCAUUGAAACCCCCUUCCAGAACCCGAGAAAAGGUUGAAAACGUGGCCCCUAAGGGCUCCACAAUCAAGGUGAAGACGAGGACCGCCACAUUCAUUGCUGUUAAAAAUCUCAUGAUUGGUACAAUAAUGGAACAACCAGAUACUGCUGAUGGCCCAUUAAGGGGACUCCACACUACAAAGGACUAUCGCAGGAAUCUAUGUACAAUGAAAACCUCUCAGCGAUAGCACAUCAACAAUGGACACAGCUUGAUUCACAUCCUAGCAAAUGAUCUAUAGCUCCUCCUAUAAAGGAGGGAAAACAACAUAAUCACUUGGCCUCCCACUCCUCCCCCACAACUCAACACCUGGAAACACCUCUGGAGGACAAAGACUGAAUGGGGGAGGUGGUCCCAGGCUGGAAAGGAGAAUCCCAGCCUGUGUAUUCAGGAACUAUACCAUCUACCAGGGUGAGACACUGCUUAAUUCAAAUCCUGUCUAGUUUAUAGAAUUCAGACUGUGGUUUUAAUUUCAUUUCUUAGGUAACUAACUUUGAUCUGUGCAUUUAUUACUUACAAUCACUUAAAAUCUAUCUGUCUGUAGUUAA